CCUACGGGAGGCAGCAGUGGGGAAUAUUGGACAAUGGGCGAAAGCCUGAUCCAGCCAUGCCGCGUGUGUGAAGAAGGCCUUCGGGUUGUAAAGCACUUUCAGUGGGGAAGAAAGCCUUGGGGCUAAUACCCUCGAGGAAGGACAUCACCCACAGAAGAAGCACCGGCUAACUCCGUGCCAGCAGCCGCGGUAAUACGGAGGGUGCGAGCGUUAAUCGGAAUUACUGGGCGUAAAGCGCGCGUAGGCGGUCUGAUAAGCCGGUUGUGAAAGCCCCGGGCUCAAACUGGGAACGGCAUCCGGAACUGUCAGGCUAGAGUGCAGGAGAGGAAGGUAGAAUUCCCGGUGUAGCGGUGAAAUGCGUAGAGAUCGGGAGGAAUACCAGUGGCGAAGGCGGCCUUCUGGACUGACACUGACGCUGAGGUGCGAAAGCGUGGGUAGCAAACAGGAUUAGAUACCCCAGUAGUC
rnacentral:rRNA from 1 species